GUGUCAGCAGCCGCGGUAAGACAGAGGGUGCAAACGUUGCUCGGAAUUACUGGGCGUAAAGCGCGUGUAGGCGGACCACCAAGUCGGACGUGAAAGCCCUGAGCUCAACUCAGGAACUGCAUCCGAAACUGGCGGUCUGGAGUAGUGGAGAGGAAAGCAGAAUUCCUGGUGUAGAGGUGAAAUUCGUAGAUAUCAGGAGGAACACCGGUGGCGAAGGCGGCUUUCUGGACACUUACUGACGCUGAGACGCGAAAGCGUGGGGAGCAAACAGGAUUAGAAACCCGUGUAGUCC
rnacentral:rRNA from 1 species